UUAUGUGUCAAAGGGGAGUAGCGUCGUUAUCUUUUAGAGAUAACGAGAUAAAGUCGUCAAUACAUGAAUUUAAUUCAUCGGUUUUAUCAACAUAUUUUUUAUGUC
rnacentral:sRNA from 2 species